GUCAGUAACCCAGCCCUAAAGGGACUGGGCUUGCAAGAAUAAUCAAGCAAGCCGUACUGACCAGACCACCCUGAGUCUACUCUCAUGGUAGCCGUUAUUUGAGUCACGACACCCACCGAAUGCGUUGCCAGUUCCCUGCUCUGUC
rnacentral:sRNA from 11 species